rnacentral:lncRNA from 1 species
CAGCAGCUCUGUUUGUGAGUGGUCAGCCUGGGAACAGUGAGACUGAGAAGCGCGUUCAUGAGAAUUCUCAAUUCUUUUCUUUCAGCCUUUGAAUGAAUACGUCGCCCGGUUGGAAUAUUAUUGCUAUUUUACGAGAAAAUUUUAAACAGCGUUUGACAUGCUUCGAAGUACGGUAAUGGAAUAUUUUGAUUUUUUUUGUCACGAAAUACGCUCGCGCGUCACCCUUCGGAUAGUUACCUGAACGCAUGAACAAAACGGAGGUAUUUGAAUAUAACUAUGGAUUAUUUGGAACCAAAACAACAUUUGUUGUGGAAGUAGACGUCCUGGGAGUGCAUUCUGACGAAGAACAGCAAAGCAUGAGGUGAAACGGAGACGUAAACCUGAGGAUACAAAGGAGAACAAACGACGGAAACAAACCUUCAAAUACCAUGUACAGCAAGCAGGCCAGAGAUUGAAUGUGUGCAAGGUCACUUUCAUGUCUGUGUUCCAGCUAACCAACAGCCGUCUUCAGGCCACAUCGGAUACAUGCUACAGUGAAAGAGGGCAUCAAGGAGCA